rnacentral:lncRNA from 1 species
GUUUGGUGCCAUGACUUGAAGAGGACUAGAAGCUCACUUCCUGACCACCUCCUCCACCCGGGUACCGAGGCCUCCAGCCCACUGUGUUCCUCCCUGACUGGUGAUUCGGGGAUCUGGACAUGCAAAGUUUCAUAAAAUGUACCUGUCAUGCAUCCAUUUGCAAGGAUGUGCUCCCCACAAAAUGAAGGGGUAAGCCAAGGAAGAUGAAGACACAAGCUCCAGGAAACAGAUCUGACCCAAGAGAGAAGUCAAGGGGAUUUCCUGGGAGAUGGUGAAGGGAAGACACCAAGGUAACAGCUCUGUAUCAAACUGAGAAAGACACCAGUCCAGACUUUAGCAAGUCAAGCUCCAGGAGAGAUUUCUUCAAAGAGAAGACAGUGAUGCCCAGAAGUGAGAGCAGCCCCACCUAUUACUGGCUAUUUACUGUGUAAACCUGGGCCAAAUGGUUUUCCCCUAUGCCCCAGUUUUCUCCUCUAUGACAU